rnacentral:rRNA from 1 species
UACGAGGGGGCAAAUGUUGCUCGGAAUCACUGGGCGUAAAGGGUGCGUAGGCGGGUCUUUAAGUCAGGGGUGAAAUCCUGGAGCUCAACUCCAGAACUGCCUUUGAUACUGAGGAUCUUGAGUUCGGGAGAGGUGAGUGGAACUGCGAGUGUAGAGGUGAAAUUCGUAGAUAUUCGCAAGAACACCAGUGGCGAAGGCGGCUCACUGGCCCGAUACUGACGCUGAGGCACGAAAGCGUGGGGAGCAAACAGGG